rnacentral:rRNA from 1 species
CCUACGGGUGGCAGCAGUGGGGAAUAUUGGACAAUGGGCGAAAGCCUGAUCCAGCCAUGCCGCGUGUGUGAAGAAGGCCUUCGGGUUGUAAAGCACUUUCAGUGGGGAAGAAAGCCUUGGGGCUAAUACCCUCGAGGAAGGACAUCACCCACAGAAGAAGCACCGGCUAACUCCGUGCCAGCAGCCGCGGUAAUACGGAGGGUGCGAGCGUUAAUCGGAAUUACUGGGCGUAAAGCGCGCGUAGGCGGUCUGAUAAGCCGGUUGUGAAAGCCCCGGGCUUAACCUGGGAACGGCAUCCGGAACUGGCAGGCUAGAGUGCAUGAGAGGAAGGUAGAAUUCCCGGUGUAGCGGUGAAAUGCGUAGAGAUCGGGAGGAAUACCAGUGGCGAAGGCGGGCUUCUGGACUGACACUGACGCUGAGGUGCGAAAGCGUGGGUAGCAAACAGGAUUAGAUACCCUGGUAGUC